ACUGAAAAUCGGAGUUGUGGUCUGGAGAAGUAAGACAAAUGGUGGAAGCCUUCGUAAAGUCGCAUGGAAAGGCGCGCCAAGGAGGGUGAGAGCCCCGUUCAUACGAAGGUGGAAGUCGGCGUCUGCUUCCAUGAGUCGAGUUGUUUGGGAUUGCAGCUCUAAUCGGGUGGUAAAUUCCAUCUAAAGCUAAAUAUGGGUAGGAGACCGAUAGCAAACAAGUACCGUGAGGGAAAGAUGAAAAGAACUUUGAAAAGAGAGUGAAAAAGUACCUGCAAUUGCUGAAAAGGAACCGAUGGGAAGUAGUGUCUUUCUUGGGAAAAGGAUGCCGAGAGACUGAGACAAAAUGCUUCUCAUCAACCCGUCUUGAAACACGGACCAAGGAGUCUAACAUGUGUGCGAGUGUUCGGGAUGAAUCCCCAGCGCGAAAUGAAAGUAAAACAUCCGCACUAUCGACCGACUAUGAUUCUACGGAAGAAAGGUUUGAGUAUGAGCAUACAUGUUGGGACCCGAAAGAUGGUGAACUAUGCCUGAAUAGGACGAAGCCAGGGGAAACUCUGGUGGAGGUCCGUAGCGAUUCU
rnacentral:rRNA from 1 species